UACUGGUUCACACAAGAAAGGACACAAGUCAGCCGUUUCCUCAAGUUCACGUCAGAGGGAUACAUAGCGAGACAGUCUCCGCUUGGACUGGCUGAGGAAAGUCUCCUAAAUGGCCCUGGAGAUGUUCUGACUGACUUUGGAGGCUUUUUGGACUGUUUUAUGCCCUCUAUUUAAAGACUUAAUUCUGUAUGUUCAGUCUGUAUGAUAAGUGAAUAAGUGAAUAAAAAGCUUUUGUUUUUAUGUGA